GGGUUGUGAGGUUAAGCGACUAAGCGUACACGGUGGAUGCCCUGGCAGUCAGAGGCGAUGAAGGACGUGCUAAUCUGCGAUAAGCGUCGGUAAGGUGAUAUGAACCGUUAUAACCGGCGAUUUCCGAAUGGGGAAACCCAGUGUGUUUCGACACACUAUCAUUAACUGAAUCCAUAGGUUAAUGAGGCGAACCGGGGGAACUGAAACAUCUAAGUACCCCGAGGAAAAGAAAUCAACCGAGAUUCCCCCAGUAGCGGCGAGCGAACGGGGAGGAGCCCAGAGCCUGAAUCAGUGUGUGUGUUAGUGGAAGCGUCUGGAAAGGCGCGCGAUACAGGGUGACAGCCCCGUACACAAAAAUGCACAUGCUGUGAGCUCGAUGAGUAGGGCGGGACACGUGGUAUCCUGUCUGAAUAUGGGGGGACCAUCCUCCAAGGCUAAAUACUCCUGACUGACCGAUAGUGAACCAGUACCGUGAGGGAAAGGCGAAAAGAACCCCGGCGAGGGGAGUGAAAAAGAACCUGAAACCGUGUACGUACAAGCAGUGGGAGCACGCUUAGGCGUGUGACUGCGUACCUUUUGUAUAAUGGGUCAGCGACUUAUAUUCUGUAGCAAGGUUAACCGAAUAGGGGAGCCGAAGGGAAACCGAGUCUUAACUGGGCGUUAAGUUGCAGGGUAUAGACCCGAAACCCGGUGAUCUAGCCAUGGGCAGGUUGAAGGUUGGGUAACACUAACUGGAGGACCGAACCGACUAAUGUUGAAAAAUUAGCGGAUGACUUGUGGCUGGGGGUGAAAGGCCAAUCAAACCGGGAGAUAGCUGGUUCUCCCCGAAAGCUAUUUAGGUAGCGCCUCGUGAAUUCAUCUCCGGGGGUAGAGCACUGUUUCGGCAAGGGGGUCAUCCCGACUUACCAACCCGAUGCAAACUGCGAAUACCGGAGAAUGUUAUCACGGGAGACACACGGCGGGUGCUAACGUCCGUCGUGAAGAGGGAAACAACCCAGACCGCCAGCUAAGGUCCCAAAGUCAUGGUUAAGUGGGAAACGAUGUGGGAAGGCCCAGACAGCCAGGAUGUUGGCUUAGAAGCAGCCAUCAUUUAAAGAAAGCGUAAUAGCUCACUGGUCGAGUCGGCCUGCGCGGAAGAUGUAACGGGGCUAAACCAUGCACCGAAGCUGCGGCAGCGACGCUUAUGCGUUGUUGGGUAGGGGAGCGUUCUGUAAGCCUGUGAAGGUGUGCUGUGAGGCAUGCUGGAGGUAUCAGAAGUGCGAAUGCUGACAUAAGUAACGAUAAAGCGGGUGAAAAGCCCGCUCGCCGGAAGACCAAGGGUUCCUGUCCAACGUUAAUCGGGGCAGGGUGAGUCGACCCCUAAGGCGAGGCCGAAAGGCGUAGUCGAUGGGAAACAGGUUAAUAUUCCUGUACUUGGUGUUACUGCGAAGGGGGGACGGAGAAGGCUAUGUUGGCCGGGCGACGGUUGUCCCGGUUUAAGCGUGUAGGCUGGUUUUCCAGGCAAAUCCGGAAAAUCAAGGCUGAGGCGUGAUGACGAGGCACUACGGUGCUGAAGCAACAAAUGCCCUGCUUCCAGGAAAAGCCUCUAAGCAUCAGGUAACAUCAAAUCGUACCCCAAACCGACACAGGUGGUCAGGUAGAGAAUACCAAGGCGCUUGAGAGAACUCGGGUGAAGGAACUAGGCAAAAUGGUGCCGUAACUUCGGGAGAAGGCACGCUGAUAUGUAGGUGAAGCGACUUGCUCGUGGAGCUGAAAUCAGUCGAAGAUACCAGCUGGCUGCAACUGUUUAUUAAAAACACAGCACUGUGCAAACACGAAAGUGGACGUAUACGGUGUGACGCCUGCCCGGUGCCGGAAGGUUAAUUGAUGGGGUCAGCGCAAGCGAAGCUCUUGAUCGAAGCCCCGGUAAACGGCGGCCGUAACUAUAACGGUCCUAAGGUAGCGAAAUUCCUUGUCGGGUAAGUUCCGACCUGCACGAAUGGCGUAAUGAUGGCCAGGCUGUCUCCACCCGAGACUCAGUGAAAUUGAACUCGCUGUGAAGAUGCAGUGUACCCGCGGCAAGACGGAAAGACCCCGUGAACCUUUACUAUAGCUUGACACUGAACAUUGAGCCUUGAUGUGUAGGAUAGGUGGGAGGCUUUGAAGUGUGGACGCCAGUCUGCAUGGAGCCGACCUUGAAAUACCACCCUUUAAUGUUUGAUGUUCUAACGUUGACCCGUAAUCCGGGUUGCGGACAGUGUCUGGUGGGUAGUUUGACUGGGGCGGUCUCCUCCUAAAGAGUAACGGAGGAGCACGAAGGUUGGCUAAUCCUGGUCGGACAUCAGGAGGUUAGUGCAAUGGCAUAAGCCAGCUUGACUGCGAGCGUGACGGCGCGAGCAGGUGCGAAAGCAGGUCAUAGUGAUCCGGUGGUUCUGAAUGGAAGGGCCAUCGCUCAACGGAUAAAAGGUACUCCGGGGAUAACAGGCUGAUACCGCCCAAGAGUUCAUAUCGACGGCGGUGUUUGGCACCUCGAUGUCGGCUCAUCACAUCCUGGGGCUGAAGUAGGUCCCAAGGGUAUGGCUGUUCGCCAUUUAAAGUGGUACGCGAGCUGGGUUUAGAACGUCGUGAGACAGUUCGGUCCCUAUCUGCCGUGGGCGCUGGAGAACUGAGGGGGGCUGCUCCUAGUACGAGAGGACCGGAGUGGACGCAUCACUGGUGUUCGGGUUGUCAUGCCAAUGGCACUGCCCGGUAGCUAAAUGCGGAAGAGAUAAGUGCUGAAAGCAUCUAAGCACGAAACUUGCCCCGAGAUGAGUUCUCCCUGAC
rnacentral:rRNA from 1 species